rnacentral:lncRNA from 1 species
AAAAUUUAAAAAAAAAAUUAAUUAAUUUGAAAAUGAUUGGUGAGAAUUAGAGUAGGUGAGGCCAAAUUGGUAAAUGAAAAUGGAAAGUAAAUGGUUGGUGGGUUUGUUUUUUUAAAAAAUAUUUUAUUGUUGGUGGGGUUGGCACGAAAUAGAAAGCAGAGAAAAGAAAUUGGUGAGAACGACUUGUAUUAAAAAAUAAGGACUUUGAUUCACUGCCCUCCCAAUUCGGUGCCCUCCCCGUGCCCUCCUAUUUGUGUGGUCACGGUUAAGCCACGUUAAUAUUUUAUAUUACUAUUUUUUUUUUGUCUUAUUAUUUUUAUAAAAAACAAUAUAAAACAUUAGCAUAGAUUAACCGUGACCACACAAAACAGAAGAGCACCGAAAUGGGAGCGCAGAGAAUCCAAGUCCAAAAAAUAAUGCACAAUAAUACAAAGGUGUCAAACUCAAAUCUACGCCUUUUCCCUUGCCUUUCAAGUUUUGUCGGUAGUCAAUUUCUUUGUUGAGGUAAGUUUUACGCUUAUGUAUAUGGGAUGGGUAUACUGACAACUGCUGACAUAUGAUCUCCGAUCAACAGUCAAGGUGACAAUUUCUGCAAGGUUUCUUAGUUUAUAAUUAGGUCAAUUGGAUUUCUUACAAUUAUUUACGCCCAAAUAACAGUAGUUGACAAUUGUUUAUGGACAAGGAUUGUUUGCCCUCUUUGUUCCCGUGCUCUCUCAUGCCCUCUCAUGCUCUUCUGUUUGUAUGAUCACAGUUAAGCCACAUCAACAUUUUAUAUUACUAUUUAUUUUUGUCUUAU